UACGUAGGGUGCGAGCGUUAAUCGGAAUUACUGGGCGUAAAGCGUGCGCAGGCGGUUCGUUGUGUCGGUGGUGAAAUCCCCGGGCUUAACCUGGGAAUGGCCAUGGAAACUGGCGAACUGGAGUGCGGCAGAGGGGGGUGGAAUUCCGCGUGUAGCAGUGAAAUGCGUAGAGAUGCGGAGGAACACCGAUGGCGAAGGCAGCCCCCUGGGCUAGCACUGACGCUCAGGCACGAAAGCAUGGGGAGCAAACAGG
rnacentral:rRNA from 1 species